ACACACAAUGAUAGAAAUAAGAGUAAAUUCAAAAAAAAAAAAAUCACGACGUACACUGUACAGAGGGCAUUAAGCCAAAGCCAUACCUCUGUGCGUGCGAUACUGUAGGUAGUAUACUACGAUACGACAUUAAAUUUGUGCGGUGGUGGUGUGGCACCGAAUGACGGCAAUAAAGUGAAUUUAAUUAGUAUAACCCACAAUGGAUGAGUCACAUCCUGGGCCGACUGAAACCACGGGCCUGUCAAGGAAAGUUGAAAAAGAAGAGAAAGUUCAUAUCCCUGAAUCGAGCACGACUGGAUUUAGUUUUCGAAAACUAUGGGCAUUUACAGGUCCUGGAUUUUUAAUGAGUAUCGCCUACCUUGAUCCAGGCAAUAUAGAAUCAGACUUACAGUCUGGAACGACUGCCAGGUACAAGUUAUUAUGGGUGUUAAUGAGUGCUACCAUUUUGGGUUUGGUAAUGCAACGUCUGUCAGCUCGCCUCGGUGUGGUUACCGGUCUUCAUUUAGCCGACAUGUGUUAUCGCCAGUACCGAAAAGCUCCAAGACUAUUUGUUUGGCUAAUGAUGGAAGUUGCUAUCAUUGGUUCAGAUAUGCAAGAAGUCAUUGGUACUUCAAUUGCAAUUUAUUUACUGAGUAACAAAAUGAUACCACUUUGGAUAGGAGUGCUGAUCACUGUCAUUGAUACUUUAUCUUUUUUGAUGCUGGACAAGUAUGGACUUCGAAAGUUGGAGCUAGUGUUUGGUCUAUUCAUUGUUAUAAUGGCAUUGUCAUUUGGAUAUGAGUUUGCAAUUGUUCAACCCGAUAUAAAAGAUAUGGCUAAAGGAUUAGUUACUCCUUGGUGUUCAAACUGUCAAGAAUCUGCUCUUCUUCAGGCUGUCGGAAUUAUAGGAGCAAUCAUAAUGCCACAUAAUUUAUACUUACAUUCAGGCCUCGUUAAGUCUAGGGAAGUUGACAGAACCAAAAAAGACAAAUUACGAGAAGCCAACUAUUAUUUUUUUAUUGAAUCUACUAUUGCAUUAUUCGUAUCAUUUGUGAUCAACGUGUGUGUUGUAUCAGUUUUUGCUCACGGAUUAUAUGAUAAGACAAAUAGUGAUGUGUUGGAGAUCUGUACCAAAAACAAUAAUACAUACUCAGAUAUUUUCACAAAUGAUACCGAAUUAGUUGAAGUUGAUAUAUAUAAAGGCGGAGUAUUCCUUGGUUGUCAAUUUGGCAUAGGUGCCAUGUAUAUUUGGGCUAUUGGUAUUUUAGCUGCUGGUCAAAGUAGUACAAUGACUGGAUGUUAUGCUGGUCAAUUUGUAAUGGAAGGUUUUUUAAAUCUUCAAUGGAGCCGAUGGAAAAGAGUUGGGUUUACUCGACUGGUUGCUAUAGCACCCACAUUUUACGUGGCAUUUUUUAGUAAUAUUAAUGACCUGACUGGUAUGAAUGAUCUAUUAAAUGCAGUUAUGAGCUUACAACUACCAUUUGCUACACUUCCAGUAAUUGCAUUCACUAGUAAUCCUCGCAUCAUGGGAGAAUUUACCAAUGGAUUGGGAAACAUUUUAAUAACAAUUAUUUUGUCUGCUAUUAUAAUAAGUAUAAACAUAUAUUUUGUAAUCCAUCACACAAUUACUAAUUUCACUUAUAAUUUGCCUUUAAUAAUUGGAGUUAUGGUAUAUAGUACAAUUUAUUUAUUAAUGUGUGCUUAUCUCACACUACAUCUUGUGAUCAGUAUGCUGGAUGAUUGUAGUGUGCUACGUAGAAAUCCAUUUGUUAUUCGAUUUAUUGGUCCACAAAUUGGAAACACUUUUUCUCAACAUCAACAAACAAAUUCACCUCCAAGCAGCCAAGAUGACAUAACAAAUAUCAAGCUAUAAUAAUGAAUAUGAUGAAAUGUUGUUGCAUGUGUCAAAAGGAUUGCACUUAACACCAUACAACUAGCAAAUUAAAUGAGAAACACAUUGUGGGCAACAUUAUCUAGUUACUAUUAUUGUUAUAUACAUCUGAUGGAAAAAAUAGUGACUAUCUAUUCUAGAUUUUUGUUUGCUGUAAACAAUAUUAUAUAAUAUUUAAUUAUUAUUAAUUUAUUUUCAAAUUGCCUAUAUUUCUAUUUUUAAUUAUUAUACAUUUUAAAGAGAAAAUAUUUUUUUCUUUAUUAUUUAUCUUAAUUAAUAAUACAAAUGAAAUCUAAUCAAAUGACUAUCGAAUAGUAUAUACAGAUUAAAAUAAUCUAAAAUUAUUAUUGUACGUACAUGUAUACAAUUGAAACUAAAUAGUGAUAUAAAUCAUCAUUGAUAAUAUAUAUAUAAGUGUGUGCGUGUAAAAUGUUUCUAAAUUUAAACGAAACUUGUUAAAUGUAUUAACAACUGUCAUUGUUUAUCAUUUUUAAAAUUUUUUUUUCUAAAUAUGUAUUUAUUACAAAGUGUAUAUUUAUUUUAUUUUAUACAAUAAUAAUCAUAAGGUUAUUCAAACUUAGACAAACCUUUAUAAUUAAACAUUAACUUUUCUUUAAGUAAAUAGUUUUCAUAAUAAUUAUUAAUUAUUUUCAUCUUACGUGUAUUCA
rnacentral:misc_RNA from 1 species